GACGAACGCUGGCGGCGUGCCUAACACAUGCAAGUCGAACGGACAUUUUUUGGAAAGCUCUUCGGAACUGGAAUCUAAAUGUUAGUGGCGGACGGGUGAGUAACGCGUGAGCAAUCUGCCUUUCAGAGGGGGAUAACAGCCGGAAACGGCUGCCAAUACCGCAUAAUGCAUCGGAUUCGCAUGUUUCUGAUGCCAAAGAUUUUAUCGCUGAAAGAUGAGCUCGCGUCUGAUUAGCUAGUUGGCGGGGUAACGGCCCACCAAGGCGACGAUCAGUAGCCGGCCUGAGAGGGUGAACGGCCACAAGGGGACUGAGACACGGCCCUU
rnacentral:rRNA from 1 species